rnacentral:rRNA from 1 species
AUUGAACGCUGGCGGCAUGCCUUACACAUGCAAGUCGAACGGUAACGGGCCUUCGGGUGCCGACGAGUGGCGAACGGGUGAGUAAUACAUCGGAACGUGCCCGAUCGUGGGGGAUAACGAGGCGAAAGCUUUGCUAAUACCGCAUACGAUCUACGGAUGAAAGCAGGGGACCGCAAGGCCUUGCGCGGACGGAGCGGCCGAUGGCAGAGUAGGUAGUUGGUGGGAUAAAAGCUUACCAAGCCGACGAUCUGUAGCUGGUCUGAGAGGAUGAUCAGCCACACUGGGACUGAGACACGGCCCAGAGUCCUAAGGGAGGCCGCAGUGGGGAAUUUUGGACAAUGGGCGCAAGCCUGAUCCAGCCAUGCCGCGUGCAGGAUGAAGGCCUUCGGGUUGUAAACUGCUUUUGUACGGAACGAAAAGCCUUCUUUUAAUACAGGAGGGUCAUGACGGUACCGGAAGAAUAAGCACCGGCUAACUACGUG